rnacentral:lncRNA from 1 species
CAGGAAGAGAAUGAUAAUGGGCAGGGCUGAGAAGGGGAGGAAACAGGGCUCCAGGCCUGUGGCAAGAAGGAGAGGAAGGAGGGAGCCCCAGGACUUCCUGAACACACAGAUGGCAGCUCCAAGGUGAUCUUGUGUUCAGGAACAUUCCUUUCCUGAUGCCCCCUGUGCUUACCUAUAGAACACAUCUCACCAAUAAGUGAGGGCCUCCAGUGAGUUAGGGCUCCAGCCCACUCUGAAACCCAGCCAGCAUUGCUGCAGCACCCACCAACCCCAGGCCCUUCU